AUACACCCAGACUCCAGGGGAGGGAAGGGAGGGCAAUAUUCGCCUCCGUGUCUUUAAUAAAAUCAUGACUUUACGUCAUAAACUAGGAAAAUCAUUAAAUUUUAUAACAAGACACGGAGGCUUCAUAUUGCUAGUUUAAAGCU